rnacentral:lncRNA from 1 species
CAAGACCGAAGACCCAAGACGUAGGUCGUUUGGUAGAACCAAUGUAAGGACAACAUUUAAGUUAUCUUAUCCUUUGGCUCAACAUUAGGUCAUCAUAAGCAUGCAUAAAACAUUUUUAUCAUAAACAUGCAUCUUUGUGCUAAACCAAAAUGAUUUGUAUUUUAGUCAAAAUGGUUUAUAAACAUGUCUUUUAAAAUCUGGACCUCAAUAAUCGAUUAUUUGAAUCCUACA